rnacentral:rRNA from 1 species
AUACGGAGGGUGCGAGCGUUAUCCGGAUUCAUUGGGUUUAAAGGGUGCGCAGGCGGACUUUUAAGUCAGUGGUGAAAUCCCGGGGCUCAACCCCGGAACUGCCAUUGAUACUGGAAGUCUUGAGUUUGGUUGAAGUGGGCGGAACGUGGCAUGUAGCGGUGAAAUGCUUAGAUAUGCCACAGAACACCGAUCGCGAAGGCAGCUCACUAAGCCAACACUGACGCUCAGGCACGAAAGCGUGGGGAGCGAACAGGAUUAGAUACCCUAGUAGUCC